UGAAAAGCCCUCAGUUUCUAAGACUUUUAUUUUCAAGAAGUCUUACCUUUUUGUAACAAAGUAUAAAUUUCUAUCUUGAUUUAUCGAGGGGACAUCGGAACGCGAAAGGAUUUAGUAUAUCGGUUUUAUGUUUUGCUUUUGAAUCCGCGAACUCUCAUUGCACCAACAGUACUUUGGACAAUUUAAAAGCUCCUUUUUGAAGCCGAAGCAUAUAAUUAGAGUGGAAAAGAAGAAGGUUCAUGUCGCCAAGAUCAGACAUGGGAAAGGGAAACAAAGCUAAACAAACAAGAAGAAUAAAGAAGUAAAAGGUUCAAGACAACUUUCAGAUUUAUCUGUUAAACUUUAGGUAUCAUGAGGAGGUAAAGUGAUGCAAAAAUUCCAGGAACCUCUGCUGCAUAUAUAUUCAGUAUGUGAUAUCAAUGUUCAUCAUUUUCAACGUGAAACUUUUAUUUUUAA